rfam:Pseudogymnoascus sp. 23342-1-I1 unplaced genomic scaffold scaffold_61, whole genome shotgun sequence.
GGCCUGAUAGUUCAGUGGUAGAAUUCUUGCUUUGGGAGCUUCAGCAUUCAAAUUGUAAGAGGUCUCCGGUUCGAUCCCGGAUUAGGCCC